rnacentral:tRNA from 1 species
GGGGGUAUAGCUCAGCUGGGAGAGCGCCUGCUUUGCACGCAGGAGGUCAGCGGUUCGAUCCCGCUUAGCUCCACCA